rnacentral:rRNA from 1 species
AUUGAACGCUGGCGGCAUGCUUUACACAUGCAAGUCGGACGAGUGGCGGACGGGUGAGUAACAUAUCGGAACGUACCGAGUAAUGGGGGAUAACUAAUGGAAAGAUUAGCUAAUACCGCAUACCAUUAGAGCGGCCGAUAUCUGAUUAGCUGGUAGGUGGGGUAAAGGCUUACCAAGGCGACGAUCAUUAGCGGGUCUGAGAGGAUGAUCCGCCACACUGGGACGGAGACACGGCCCAGACUCCUGCGGGAGGCAGCAGUGGGGAAUAUUGGACAAUGGGCGCAAGCCGGAUCCAGCCAUGCCGCGUGUAUGAAGAAGGCCUUCGGGUUGUAAAGGACUUUUGUCAGGGAGGCGGUACCUAAAGAAGAAGCACCGGCUAACUCCGUGCCAGCAGCCGCGGUAAUAC